rnacentral:rRNA from 1 species
UACGUAGGGGGCGAGCGUUGUCCGGAUUUAUUGGGCGGAAAGAGCUCGUAGGCGGUUUGGUAAGUUGGAUGUGAAAUCUCCAGGCUCAACUUGGAGGGGUCAUUCGAUACUGCCAUGACUAGAGUCCGGGAGAGGUGAGUGGAAUUCCCAGUGUAGCGGUGGAAUGCGUAGAUAUUGGGAGGAACACCAGUGGCGAAGGCGGCUCACUGGACCGGAACUGACGCUGAGGCGCGAAAGCGUGGGGAGCAAACGGG